CCUGCAUUGCCAGGGUAUUGUUCACAGGGACCUAAAAAUUGAAAAUUUUCUUCUUGAUGAGAACAACAACAUCAAAAUCAUUGAUUUUGGACUGAGCAAUACUGCAAGGUUUGAGGGUCUCUCCC